rnacentral:lncRNA from 1 species
AGUGGCGGCGGCGGCGGGUCCGGAGGUGGCGGCAGGUGGCCCCGCGCGCGGCGGCCGGCCCGGCCGGGGGCGGGCGGGAAGGUGGCGCCUCGGGCGGGGGCCGGUCCCUGCACCAGGUGACCUGUUCCGGCCCGGAUCCGGGCGGCCUCGCCAUGCAGCGGCGCGGCGCGGGGCUCGGGUGGCCGCGGCAGCAGCAGCAGCAACCCCCGCCGCUCGCGGUCGGCCCCCGGGCCGCAGCCAUGGUCCCGAGUGGCGGCGUCCCCCAGGGCCUCGGCGGCCGCUCUGCCUGCGCGCUGCUCCUGCUCUGCUACCUGAUGUGGUUGCCCUGCUUGGCUUUCCUUAUGCCUCCAGUGGAGAAAACACAGGCAUUGUCAAGAAGUUCCCGAGGUUUCGGAACCGAGAGCUGGAGGCCACUCGACGCCAGAGGAUGGAUUACCCAGUGUUUACUGUUUCAUUGUGGCUUUAUUUACUCCAUUAUUGCAAGGCCAACCUCUGUGGGAUUCUGUACUUUGUUGACUCUAAUGAGAUGUACGGCACACCUUCUGUAUUUCUUACGGAAGAGGGCUAUUUGCAUAUUCAGAUGCAUCUUGUCAAAGGGGAAGACCUUGCUG